UGCCCUGUCUGUGCCCUGGUGCUUAGGCCCUGUCCGGAGGGAGAGGCCGGCUGUCUCAGCUGCCUCUCCUUGUCUGCAGAGAAUGGAGGGCAGGAGGGGGGUGUGCUGACCACAAGACCCUGGGCAUCCAAAAAACUCAUCUGGAAGGGCAAGAAGGCACUGCUGAGCCUGGCCUGAGUCUGUGCUGGAGGCCUAGUUAGUGGCCUGCAUUUUCCGGGUUACUGUGGAUAGUGAAGUUGGGGGAUGCCUGCACCCUGGAGAACAUCACUGCCUUCUGAAGCCACACUGUGACCUUCCAGAAGCCUCUGCAGUCUGAACCAGGUCCUCUCCCAGCUGAGUUGGGA